GCCUGUGUGACACAGUUGAUUGAGCGUUCGCCUGCUGCCCAAAAGGUUGCUGGUUCACCUCCAGCCAGGGGCA
rnacentral:tRNA from 1 species